rnacentral:rRNA from 1 species
AUUGGACGCUGGCGGCAUGCCUUACACAUGCAAGUCGAACGGUAACAGGUCUUCGGACGCUGACGAGUGGCGAACGGGUGAGUAAUACAUCGGAACGUGCCCAGUCGUGGGGGAUAACUACCCGAAAGAGUAGCUAAUACCGCAUACGAUCUGAGGAUGAAAGCGGGGACCUUCGGGCCUCGCGCGAUUGGAGCGGCCGAUGGCAGAUUAGGUAGUUGGUGGGAUAAAAGCUUACCAAGCCGACGAUCUGUAGCUGGUCUGAGAGGACGACCAGCCACACUGGGACUGAGACACGGCCCAGACUCCUACGGGAGGCAGCAGUGGGGAAUUUUGGACAAUGGGCGAAAGCCUGAUCCAGCAAUGCCGCGUGCAGGAUGAAGGCCUUCGGGUUGUAAACUGCUUUUGUACGGAACGAAAAAGCUUCUCCUAAUACGAGAGGCCCAUGACGGUACCGUAAGAAUAAGCACCGGCUAACUACGUGCCAGCCGCCGCAGUAACAC